UACAGAGGUCUCAAGCGUUGUUCGGAUUCAUUGGGCGUAAAGGGCGCGUAGGCGGCGGGGUAAGUCGGGUGUGAAAUCUCAGAGCUCAACUCUGAAAUGGCACUUGAUACUGCUCUGCUAGAGGACUGGAGAGGAGAUUGGAAUUCACGGUGUAGCAGUGAAAUGCGUAGAUAUCGUGAGGAAGACCGGUGGCGAAGGCGGAUCUCUGGACAGUUCCUGACGCUGAGGCGUGAAGGCCAGGGGAGUAAACGGG
rnacentral:rRNA from 1 species